UCCUAACUGGGCUGGAGGGGAGGGACCUCCUCAAGGGAACUUCUGAUGGAAUGGUCCUGCAGUCUUCUGUGAAUUCCUUAAUCUCAGAGUGCCUGAAUCAGGCUAGGCCAGUUCAGCCCUCACCUUGCUUAUCCAUCCUGUGAUGUGUGCUCAUGUGUGCAUGUGUGUGUAUGUGCUUUCUUUUACCUUCUCGCCAUCUGCAAUCCAGGCUUCAUCACCUGGAGUGGUAGUGGUAAACUAACUAACCAACUAUCACAUAUUAAGAUUUAUGCUAAUAAAAUGAUUGCUCAGAGAGAAUCUUAUUUUCCUUUUGAAAUUACUUUUUUUUUCUAAGCCUUGGGGCUAUGUUAACUGGAAUGCAGCAGGACCCCACUAUACUUUUAGAGAGAAUAAAGAUGAAGCCUCAGGAUAGAACUAUCCUUAACACUGGUACCUGUGGCUGUGGUGCUCUUCAUGUGCCUUUGAGGAAAGUUUUGCAAAUUGCUUGCUGUGUGGGGCCAGAGACCCGAAGUCUCCACCGUGAAAACUCCUGGUGCUUAAUUCAUAUUUGUAGAUUGCUAGAUGUGCAAUUAAUUAAAAACUGCUAUUAGUUGCUUCCAUGGAAACUUGCUGGGGUACCCUGGAGUACCUCAUAAAUGAAGCUAGGUCUUGUAUGAGUUAUACAAUUGUAUAUGUGUGUAUUUCUUUAAAUCUCAAAUGCAGGACUAAUAUUUCCAAAUUCAUUUUUCUGUCUUUAAUCUACACUUUCAUGCUUUUUCUAUAGCAGUGGUAUUUAUAUGUAAAAAUAGUCCAAGACCAGUGUAGAAGUCAGUAAUUUUGUUGACUUUAUCAUCAGAAAAUGCUCUGAUCUGGAGUCCAGAUUCUAAAUAAUGAGUAACAUUAGGAAGAUAAAAGGAAUUCCAUUCAUUUCUUGCCCCUUUCCUUAACUUUAUUAGCAGCUACUUGAUAGGCUUUAAUGUGAACCACUGACUCUGGGGCCUGUGUACAUUCUGUGAUACUUCCACUGCGUAUCCAGGAUCUGAGUGGUGGGAAAGGGAGCCUGGAGUACUGCUGGUGGGAAUGUGAAAUAUCGCGGCUACUGUGGAAAGCAGCAUGGGGCUUCCUUAAAAAUUAAAAGUAGGAGUACUGGCUAGUUUUGUAUCAACUUGACACAGCUGGAGUUAUCACAGAGAAAGGAGCUUCAGUUGAGGAAACGCCUCCAUGAGAUACAACUGUCAGGCAUUUCCUCAAUUAGUGAUCAAGGGGGAAAGACCCCUUGUGGUGAGACCAUCUCUGGGCUGGUAGUCUUGGUUCUAUAAGAGAGCAGGCUGAGCAGCCAGGGGAAGCAAGCCAGUAAAGAACAUCCCUCCAUGGCCUCUGUAUCAGCUCCUGCUCCCUGACCUGCUUGAGUUCCAGUCCUGACUUCUUUCAGUGAUGAACAGCAAUGUGGAAAUGUAAGCUGAAUAAACCCUUUCCUCCCCAACUUGCUUCUUGGUCAUGAUGUUUUGUCCAGGAAUAGAAACCCUGACUAAGACAGUAGGACUACCACCUGAGCCAACAGCUUCCCUUUUGGGUGUUCUGGGGAAAUCAGUAUGACAGAGAGAUGAGAAACUCCAUGUUCACUGCAGUGCUAGUCACAGUAGCCAGGAGACCGAGACAGCCUAAGUGUCCAUCACUGAUUAUUGGAUAAAAAGAAGUCUCACAUAUUCACACACAGCGAAGUGCUUUUUAUCCAUUAAAAAUUAAAUUCUGUCAUCUCUGACAGCAUGGAUAGCCUGGCAAUCACUAUGCUCAGUGAAGUAAGCCAGGAGCAGGGAAACAUGUGCUAUGUGGCCUUGCUCAUAUGUGAAAUAUAGAUUAUUAUAUAUUUGUGAGUGUGAUUUGAAUGUGAAACAUGCCCCCACUGGCUUAUGUCAUUGGACACUUGGUCCCCAGCUUGUGACACUGCUUGAGAGCCCUGUGGAGUCCCUAUGAUAUAGAGCCUUGCUGGAGGAAGUGUAUUGCUGGGGGUGGGCUUUGGGAUUGUUUGGCCUGACCACCCCUCCUGUUCACUCUCUGCUUUCCCUCACUGCUGGUGCAGUGUGAUGGCUUGGCCACACACUCCUCCUGCUGUGCAUUUCUCACCAUACUGGACUGUGUCCCCUCUGAAACUGUAAGCCAUAUGUAAUACUCCCCCCCCCCCACACACACACCUUAAAGUUGAUUGGGUCAGAGUAUUUUAUUGUAAUAACAAAAAUGAAACAACACACACAUUCACUCACAAACAUUCACUCUCUCUCACACACAUUCACACAGUCAUACAUACACUCAUACACACACACUCACACAAUACACUCUCACACACUUCUCUCUCUCUCUCAACUGUGAUGGGGAACACUAGGCACUAGGUCACAGUCAAGUGGGAUAAGAAGUUCUGAGGUGCUAUGUGCACAGUAGGGUGACUAUAGAUUGGGAUUGUAACCUCUACUUCAGAAAGCCAGAGGACAAAUUUGGAGUGUUUUCACUGUUAAGAACUAUCUAUUGGAACUAGAUGUGUUUAGCCUGGUUAUGAAGUGUAACCAUGUAUCCAAAUAGCCCUUGAUAGCCUAUGGACACAGGCAACUUUGUAUUUUUAUGUAUCUAAUUAAAACUUUAAGCUUUAAAAAGAAUUUUUAUGAUAUCAUUGAGGGUGGUUAAAAUGAUUCUGGGCUUUGGCGUGAGAUCUACCUGGACCAGCGCAUGGAUGGAGUAGACUCUGCAAACAGAAUACUAGAAUUCGCUCACAAAUAUGGUUUUGUGUCUUCAAAUAGCCUUCUAUUGAAGGAAAUUGAGUUCACUUGAAAUGGUUUGGAUCAGGGUGUGAAUAGCUAUGAGGAAGAAUGGUGUCUUUGUAAACCCAAACUUAGAAAUGCCACAGCUUCAAAGGCUCUCCUGCCUUGUGGUUGCACCAAUGCCAGGCAGAGCAGCCCUCAGCCCUCGGUGACCUGCCCAUCAGCCCAACAAGUCCUCUCAGGGAGGAAUGCCCUCUGUACAGAGUGAAGAGGUUUUUCCCCAUGUGUGACCUGAUUGUCUUUGGGGAGGGGCUUGGCAGAGCUUGGGGAAGGCAGAACCCUGCCUAUAGACACAGGUUAAACCAUUCCUCUGGGUCAGUGGUAAUGUUAUUAACCCCUUCUACCUCCCAAAAGUAAAGAAGUUUAGGAGCUGGCAGUAAACAUCCAUUUGGCUCUUUAGAACUAUGGUAACCUCUCAUUGCAGAAGACCUUCCACACCCAGAGGAUAAAGAUAGCAAAGCCCAUGGACUUUCAUGCCUUGUGAGCGAUUGAGUGCAAGAGAAGCUGGACCAGGCCUGCAGAGCCUCAGCCUGCUGGUCCCCUGGUAUUUGUGGCCACACAGGACCAUAUAUUCCAAUGAUAAUCACAUUUUAUCAGAACCCACUAAGAAGUAGGGAGUGCAGGGACUGGGGCAAGGCUGCAGUAGAUGAUGUAUUUGCUGUGCAAGCACGAAGACCUGGAUUUAGAUCCCCUGCAUCCCAGAAACAGCUGAGCAUGAAAACACACAUCUGUAAUUCCAGUAUUGGAGAGGUGGAGACAGGUGGGUCCCUGCAGCUCACUGGCCAGGCAACAGAGCCACAUGAUGAGCUUUGGGUUCACUGAGAGACACCACCAAAAAAAUAGGAUGGAGAGCAAAUGAUGGCGACUCUUGACACUGACCUCUGGCCUCCAUAUUUAUACAUGGGGUAUACACAUGUACCUGCACCUGCAUGUGUGUACACACUUUGUGUACACACAAAGCAGGGAGAGCAUAACUUAUAUAUACGAGGAUUCAUCCUAUGAAGGUUGGUGCUUAGUUGGAUUUGGUUGGCUAGAGUACACCAUUUUAGUCUGAGUUGGGCAUAUGAGGUGACAUUUAAUACUAGGUAGCAUAUGUUUCAUUUUCAAGAGGAAAGAUUUCUGCUUGGGGUGGUAGGAGACCUAGGGUAAUAGCAACAGCGACAAUCAGGGAUGGUAGUAUGCGUGCCUGUCAGGUACUCUGUUCCCCCCCCCCCCCCCCGUGGUUCUAAGGAACUUACAAACAUGAAUGCGUCCCGUCCUUAAGUCCUUAAGAAAGGAGCUUGGGAAGCGUUCUCAGUCUUGGUUCACAGGCGAAGAAGCACAGGUGGCCUGCUGACUUCGACCAUUACCAAGCAGCAAGCUGGGACCCGGGCCUGGGAGCUGGCUAGGACUCACCUCUCUCCCAUCAGUUGCUCUGGGGCCCGCUGCUGGGACUCCUGAAACCUUCAUAAUGGAGGAUGCUACAGAGUCAUAAAAUCCCAGGAGUGUUUUGGAAAAUGACAUAAGGCUAUCAUUAAGGUUAUUGACAGUGGCCAUUUGCAUUCUUUUUCCAUAAAAAGACCACUAUACACCCCUUUCCUAUAGAGUAGAAGGAGAUGGGAGAGAGUCUCGGGUUGAAGAGUGAACUUUCCUAUAAAGAAGAGUCACGUCCACUUUGGGGGAGCGUACUCCCCAGAUGUUCAUUUUGCAAAUAUGCCUUGGCUGCCCAGUGAGUGUCCCGUGGAGAAGACAGACCUAGUCCCUACCAUGGGGAAUUUGCAUUCCAGUGGCCCAGACAGUCAUUUACAAAGUAAACCUAAAAACUAGAUAAUUGCACACUUGCUGAGAAUUUGGAAGGACAUGAGCACAGCCUGAGGAAAGAGAAGGAAAGUUGUGGGGCGGGCAUCCUGCCAGGAAGGCUUUCCCAGGAGGUGAGGACACAGAGGCGUGGGGCGGGGCAAGGCGGAUGUGACUAUGCGAGCAGGGAGGGCGGAGUCUGAGGAGGGAGGUCCUGCUGCUGGGGAGUCCUGAAGCUCCAGGUGAAGGGAGGCUUCAGAGGGCUGUCCUGGUGCCAGGCAGCCGGAGGCCAGGAGAAGCUUUGCUUUUGCUGGAGGUCCAAGGGGGAAGUCAUGUAGACAUUUGAAGCUAGAGCGUGAGCUGAUGCUAUUAUUCUAAAUAACUGUGUGCCCUGGGGUUAGGUGGCUGGAAGCCUAUUGUAGGAGAGGCCAAGGACUACAGAGAUAGGAUUAGGGCUGACAUUGGGAGACCCCAGAGAACUGAGGACUCCGGAAGGCAGGGAGGCCUUGCACACAACAACUCAAGGAGACAGUGAGCAGACAGCAUGAGCAGACAGACAGCAAGCUGACACUCCCUCCCUGAAAGGAAAGGAUGGGUUUAUCCAUCUCUCCCUGCCCCCACAUACACACACAUGAUGCCUGGGCCCCCCCCCCACUGGCAGACCAAGGUUGCCCUCUAUCAUAGCCCCCCUAGGCUGGCCAGGGCAGUGCAGUAUGUAGGAGGAGGGGGAAGGAAGCCCAUCUAGUGGGACCAGGUUGUUUCUCGAAGUAAGGUGGACGUAUGAGGCGGGCUUCCUGACAGAGAACUCUCUCAGGAGGAGAAGGCACUGCACUUGAGAGAAAGCUGAGGGUGUGCUCUCUUCAGGACUGGCAUCCCAGGACCUUGCAACCUCUGUUCUCUCUCUGUCUCUCUGUCUCUGUCUCCCUUCUUCCUCUUCUUCCUCCUCCCCCUCCUUCUCCUGUUCUCCUCUCCUUGUUUUGUUUAUUGAGGCAGGGUGUCUCUCUGUAACCCUGGCUGUCCUGGAACUAGCUUUGUAGACCAGGCUGGCCUCAAACUCAGAGAUCUACCUGCCUCUGCCCUCCCAUCCCCAACCCCCAACCCCCAUCCCCAUUUCAGUGCUGGGAUUAAAGGCAUGCAUCACCGCCACCCACCUGACCCCUGUAUUUUCAUCUGUAAAACCAGCCACCGUCCUUCCAGGUGUGUCUGCUGUGAGCCUAUUACAGUGUGUUGUUGAAUCUAACAUAGCUUGUAGUCCCCGAGUCUUUAUGCUGUUUUCCGACAGUGGGGCCACUGUCCCUCCCAAGUCAUCUCCAUCCAGCAGUUUCUAAGCUGGGGAAGGGCAAUGGUAGAAGGCAAGGAGUCCCAUAGUGGACAUCUUACCCAGGGCAUCUGUGUCUCAGAGGCUGUCUCAUGCCUUGUGAAUCUGAGGCUUGAUCUUUUCUGUCUUAGCUUCUAAACUCCUGGGUUCCUUUAAAUUCCCCUGCCUUUUGAGACCUUAUAAAGUUCUCACCAACUGCAUGUGCUAUCUCUCCUCUCUUCUCCCUAUCUGAACGUGGAGAGCAUCCUGGGAGGGUAUAAGGAGGAUGGACUAUCUCUCAGCAACCAAGAUAAAGGGUGGGUGAGAAAGGCAAAUCAGAAAGAAUAUAGGAAAUCCAAAUGAAUGCAAUUACAAGUGAGUGGCUUCAGGAAUUACCUUACAGAUUGUAACUGAAUACCUCUGAAAUAAGGCAGAGGGACAGUCCUGUAAACACCCAGUCUCCUGGUCAUGAUGUGAUGGUAAAGACUUCUCCUGCCUUUCACCAAGGACAGAGGUGCCAGGUUCUCACAUUCAAGGAGCUGUUCUAAGGGCUGGGCUCCUGAGUGGGCUUUCCAAGUCCUGACAUUUCUAGAAAAGUCUGUGAGUGGCAAAUUGACCAAGACUGCCUCUACAGGCAGACUGAGGGAGGAUGCCCAAAGGCAGCCAUUUUACAGUGAAGGAGUCAAGGUGAGGGCUGUCCUGAGAGGACCCUGCAUGGGAGCGCCUGCCAGCACUCAACAAGGCAGCUCCACUGUGCUUAUGUGUGCAGUUCAGUGCCGCCCUGCUCAGCUCUUCUCAUGUUUUUAAAAUCUCGUAAGUGCUUUCAGCGAAUCACUUGAUGCUUUCUAUUACCCAGGAGACAUCUGGCAGGCUCUUACAAAGUAAAACACACACAGCACACGAGUCAGCAUUUCUCCAGGAUACAUGCACAUGCACAGUGGCACAAGGUUUGCAGAGAGAUGUCCACAGGAGUUUUAUUCAUGAUGGUUCAAACGUGGAAACGUCUGGAUCGGAACCCACCAGGGGACACCAAGCAACUUUCAGGGCAUACAAAUGAAGAAAUACUGCUCAGUGAUAAAGAGGAGAAAAACCAAGGACAUACACAAAGACAUGCCUGGCCUACCAGAGAGCCAUGCUGAAAACAGCCCCUCAGGAGAGUGCGUACUGUGUGUUCCCAGUUAGGGGCAAAACUAACCUAUCUGGGCAGGGAGCCAGAUGGGGUUGGUUGCCUUAGGGUGGCCUGAGGGGAAUUAAAAGCAAGGAGAAACCAAAGGGGGGGGAUUUUUCUGGGGUCAUGGAAAUAGUAAUAUCCAUAUGGAAUUGAUAUUUAUAUUUCUUAAUUAGGGUAAUGGAUGAAUAAGUAUAGACAUUUAUCAAAAACUACCCAGCUGUUUGAUGUAUUUUUACUGUGUAUAUGAAUAUAUUAUACCUCAAUAGAGUUGGUUCUUAUGAAAACUUUACAAGUUUUUAUUUUAAAAACUAUUCUCAGUGCAGAGGGACUGUUUGUUGGCAUUCUUGGGCCAAACAUCCAUUUGGCAAGGUUUUGAAUUUCGUGGAUUUGAGGUUUUUGUGCUUUUGCAAGUUGUACCUUCUUGCAAUUUCCCACUAACCCUUUAGUAACUCACUGAAAUUUUCCAUUGAUUGACUUAAUUGUCAAAUAAUGAAAAUAUUCCUUGAACAUCAAUUUUGUUCAAGGUGAUAUUGUUUUGAACUCCAGUUGUUUUCACAGGCUGGCUGAGGCCAGCCCCUAAGGAAGCCUGAUCACUGCUAACCCAGAGCAGGAGAGCACAGCAGCCCCCUUUCCACGGUCCAUGUGAUGUGCCAAGAGCUCAGCGAUAACUGUCAUUAGUGUGGUUUUCUUAUGGAGCUUCUCACAGCUUGCUGUUCCCCUGGGCGUUAUAUGUACAUAUAUAGAACCCGCAUAUACGGCACAUCAGGGUGAAGGUCAGAAUGACUGUCCUUUCUCUACCUUAAGUAGUAGUCUUUAUAUACUACUCACUGGGCAUCCCUACAACCUUUGAGUGUGCGCAUAACAUUCUGUUGCUGGGCAUUGAUGGUGGUGUAUACAAUCAGACCCACAGUCCAGACCUGUAAGAAUCAGCGAGACCUUCUAGUCUAGCUUUUCAUUUCCGAUGUGUAAAACUUAGUGGCAUUACCCCCAACUCAGCAAACCUGUGCAUCUAAAAAGGCGAAGCAAAGAACUCACCUAUUUGCCUGCCUUGAAUUACUUUUGGGCUCAGUGGUGAAGCAGAUCAACUCCUUGAUUUUUAUUAAUCCUGUUUUACUUAUUCCAGAAAGUACAACAAUAUUUAGUGUUUCAUAUAUGUCUGGUGUGUCUGAAUUUAUGAAGAUUUGGAUAUCAGCAAACAGAGAGACCAAGUAGCUUGUCCAUAGUAACAUGUAAAAUCACACGGCUGAUGUGCAUGUAUGUGUGUGCACUUGUGUGUUCAUUUGUGAGGACAUGUGUAUGUGUGCAUGUGCAUAUACACCUAUGUGUAUGUGUACGGAUGUGCAUGUCUGCAUGUGUAUAUCUAUAUAUGUAUGUAAGUGUAUGUGUGUGUGUAGACUCUAACCCAGAGAGUCUGGCUUUAUCCAUCUUCCCCUUAGCCAUGCUCUACACCAUCUUUGUCAAUCAUCUGGUUAUACCCAUAGCUCUGUACUGAGGCUGUCUCCCUAAGGAGAAUAACUUCCUGCCUUUUACCUUACAUCUCAUUACUUUCCUUUAUUAAUAAAUAAGUAACUUUCUUUUAUUAAAUUCAAAAGUCCUAUUGAUUUUGACAUCAAUUACAGCUGUGUGAGGUAGAUAGUGGGGGGUGGAAUGCUUUGAGUCAUCCAGUUAUACAUUUAUUUAAUAAAUAUUUGAGGACUGGCUGCUCUGUUAGAGGACUAAGAUGACUGGUGAAUCAGGUCCAGCCUCUCUGUCCUCACUGGCAUGUCAGGGACCUUGUUGGGUGGAGGCAUCACAUUAGGAAGACUACUCAGUAGGGACCAAUACAAGGUGUUCCUUCUCCCUGUAGACCAGGGUCUAUAAAAUGGAGCUGCCAGAGUGCCAAAGAAACCUGCUGUCUGUUUAUAUAUAACCUCUCAAGGUAAGAAUGUGGCUUAUAUUUUCAAAGGUCUGGAAAGAAAGAAAAAAAAUGAAGAAUAUACAGUAGAGACCUCACACAACCCUGCUAAGCUGGCAGCCUUUGCUUUUCUGUCCCUUACAGGAAAAGCUUGCUUACCUCUGCGAUAGGGCACAGAAAGGCUUGGGAAGAAAGUCUGGUUAGGACAAGAUUAUCUCUUAUGUCAGUCUCUGGAAGGCAGUGUUUGGACUCUAGCUACAGGGCUGGCCCUGGUGCCGGAGGCUCUCUCCUGGAAUCCCUGCAACAUCUCCUCUGUGAGAGGGCAGGUGCUUAGUAGUCAUGUGAAGACCGAUUGGAAAGAUGGGUGCUGUCUCUUCAUCACUGUGGUAGGAAGAUGAUGGACGGUUGAUAGCGCAAUGUGGUUUGUAAGCUCUAUGGAAGUUGGAUUUGCCUGCAGCACUAAGCAGCUGUUCUUCCUGCCACGAGUAUCCUGACAGUUAGUGCCUUUGAGAGGCAGCCAAAGUCUAAGGUGGGAUGAGCAUGGUGAGCCGGGAUACUGGAUCUUGUUCCAGCUUUCUCAGUGAUGUGCAGAUGACCUUGAGUGUGCCAGACGCUUCUCAUGCUCUGGUGCUACUGGCUGUGCCAGGGUGACCCACUUCUGGUGGUGACCAGCUCCUACCACUUUGCAGUGCCUGGUAUUUCUUGGAGAUGUUGUCCAGCACACUGGGGGUCAGCUAAGAAACUGUGCCAAGAGCAGGUUGACAGAGAAGGAAGCAGAGGGGGAUAAGAGAAAGGAAGCAGGCUGGAGGGGUUAAGAGCCAGGACUGCUCUUGCUAAGGGCCUGGGUUCAGUUCCCAGAACUCAUGCUGGCGGCUCACAAUCUAUAACUCCAACUCCAGGGGGAUCUGCUGCCUCUGGCCUCCAAGGGCACCUACAUGCAUGUGCAGAUAUCCAUGCACAGACACUGACAAAUAUAUGAUUAAAACGUGUGUGUGUGCGCGCGUGUGUGUGUAUGUGCGUGCGUGUGUAUGUGCGUGUGUGUGUGUGUGUGUGUGUGUGUGUGUGUGUGUGUGUGUGUGUGUGUGUGUGUGAAGAGAUAGGGUAAGGGAGCUCUCUUUCUGUAUCUACUUGACUUUUGAACCCAGAUAAGCUUAUCAUUUCUGGGUCUUAACACCAUAGUUCCUGCUAAGAUCAGCCAUAUCCAUGAUGAAGCUUUAGCAAGUAGCCUGCUUAUAGUUCACUUGGCUUUCUUCUUUGGUUCAAGAUAUACUCUGGCUCUUAUCGUCAGGUUUUCAUGAUGGAACCCCAUUUUGGCCUGACUCUGACAGGCAGUGGCUAGGCAGAGGGCCUGAAACCUGGACCCACCCUGAAGGCAGGGCGAUUCCCACUCAGCCCAUGACAGCUAUAUCCCAUACUUUGAGACUGGCCAGUGUAAAUGGUAUUCAGGGUUUUUGGAGAAUCAGGCUGGGGUCUGCCUGGGUGGGAAGUUGAACUGCAUAAUUCUGUAUUUUUCUGUUUUGGCCAUGGACUGUGGAACCCAGUUGCCAGCUAUAGUCCCAGGAGUGGGGAGAGAAAGGGUAGAGGACCAGACCUGGAUGCCCUGGCGCCCUUGUACAGAGGACCAGACCUGGAUGCCCUGGUGCCCUUGUACAGAGGACCAAAUCUGGGUGCUCUGGUGUCCUUGCAUCCUCAAAGCCUUGUUAGUUUACUUGUCAGCUCUCAUUCAUUCAUUCAUUCAUUCACUUUGCAGUUCUGGGGACUACACCCAGGAUGUGUUACGAACAUGUUCUACACAGUUACACUGUGCCCUAUUUGUCAACUCUUUCAGGUCUGUCUGUGAGCAUAAAAGUCUGUAUUAUUUUAUUUUAAACUGACUGACUUUGUCAAAUCCUGAGUCACAUAUAAGGAACAAGCGACAAUGGUGGUGGUCUAGGCAGAGCUGUUGCUCUCUGUCCUCCUUGGCAUGGUUGCCACUUCCAUUCUUAUCCCCGUGAAACCACCGAACCACGCUGCUUUUCCCACCUAGUCACAAACGAGGUUCAUCAGGGCUCCCCACUCAGUUCUUACUUUGCCUUCAGAUGAUUCUCACCUCUGCAGCACACUCCACAUGAUCUCCACAAGUCACUUCUAGGAGGACCCAGCUCUGAGCUGCCCUUCCUUAAAGUCAACCAGAGGCACUGAAAACAUCACAGCCAGAGUUCUCUGCAUCUCUCACCUCUCCUCUCAUCUGGCAGCUCUUCAGAGCAUCUUGAGAGAAGACUGGGAGAAGGGAUGAGUGCACUCUGUAAGCCACAGGGUUUAGAGGUCCACCCUAAGCUACCCAUGCAAGGCUGCUAAAGAUGCUGACUGCGUCUCAGGGAGGCCUGCAGGUGACUCUAGCUCACUUGAGGUGCCCAUUGGUGGUUCAGAUCUCUCUGACCCUGCAGUUACAACCCACCGCCGUCCCAGUCUUUGUUCAGUCCGGAAGCUGUUAGGCUUCUGAGUGAGAGACAGCACCACAAAGGAGAGUGGGAGCUUUAAGAGCUGCUGCAGAAUGUGGACUGAGAAAUAUUUUACCCAAAUAUCUACACUGAAAAGUCGUUCACUAAUGUUUAAGUAGCCAUAUCCAGCAAUUGAAUAAUUUGUACAUUUUGUGAUGUCUUUGGCCACUCCAGCCUCAAGUCCUGAUAGGAAGCACCAAGUUCAAGUUAAUCUCUGCCGAGCUUCUCUUGGGUCUCAGGGUUGGUAGCUCUUGGCAGGCAAGAGGCUUCUUACAACAUGGCUACAUGGACCAGGCCAAAGGAGUGUCAGAGACAGCUGGUGCUAGAGCAUGAACUCUUGGGUGAGGAUCAUUGUUCAGUCUUGGCUGCUACAGCAGUUUGCAAUCUGGGCCCCACACUCCUUAGAUUGUGUUUCUUAUCCAGAGUCUGAUCAAGGACCCACUAUUCGUAUCUGCCUGCAGAUAACUGCAGUUGAAGCACGGUGAAUUCCUCUCUGCUGGCCUCUGUGUAAGAGGUCACAUAUCUGUGGAAUAAUUAGAGCACCUCUCCAAAGCUGCAGGCUGCUCUGUGCUCCCUUUCUCUGGGGACUUUUAGAAUAUGGUGCAAAGUCUUUUGGAUCUUUGUUUUCUUCCAGAAAACUGUCAGAUUCCUUGAGACUGGAAUUACAGAUGGUUUUGAGCCACCAUGUGGGUACUGGGAUUCAAACCCAAGUCCUUUGGGAGAAUAGCCAGUGUACCUGCUGAGCCAUCUUUUCAGCCCUCUUUUUUUUUUCUUGUAAGAAGUGGGAUAGUUGAGUGCCUGAGUCUUUGCAAUUCUCCCGCUGUCCCAGCCCACACAGCAUGUACCUAAGUGUAAAUUCCCUCCCCUCUGAAGAACCUGCUCCUAGAGCCACAGAGAAGAAGGAAGCCGAUUGGAAGAAAGGAUAGAGAACCAUCUUCUGCAAUUCUCAGGCUAAGAGGCAGGGUUCUCAAAGGAAGAGCUUGGGGAGCCUGAGAGGAAGACAGGUCUCAGAGCAGAGAAAAAUGUAAAGCUAGAGAUACAGAAGACAUCUAUUGGCAUCUCAUCCUUCCCCCAGUGUGGAUUUGAGAUGGGUGAUUUGAGGUAGUUUUCAGAAGUUUGUAACUCAGAAGUUCAUCUUAGGUUUUAUCAAAGGCCAUGGCAUCUGACUGACUGAAAUCAGAUCUUAUGAUUAUAAGUUUGAAGGCCACUGGAUUGAGCUAAGAAGACAAUUUCUUCAUCUCAGUUUGAUAUAUAAGGGACCCUAGUCUACAAAAUAUUAUAUGCUGUGUUCAUGAUCACACAUCCAAAUUAAUUGGAAAGGCCGGAAAUAUUGGGUAAAUUUACAUACCAUGAAAUGAAUAGAGCUUAAAGUACACUUUUCAGGUAGAUUCUGACAAACCUGUGCACCCAGGCAACUCAUACUGCCAUUGGUGAAUGAGAAAUACAAUCAUUCCCUUGGGUACAUGUGCACAGUCAUGGAGGGCACAGAUCCCAGUGAGAGCACAGCUUCCAUCAGAGAAGAACUUCAUCCUUCAGCUUGUCCCACCCUGAAGCAGGAAAGAAAUACCUCCCCCCUUGCCUUUCCUUUUAUGCCCCAUUACCAACACCUGAAUUAUUCUUUCAAAUGGGUUUUGAUUUCUGUCUGGUUCAGGCAGAGUUGUCUAGGAAACCAGAAAUAUCUACAGACUGCAAGCCACACAGAUUGAGUGAUCCUUGGCUCCUCUCUUCAGAGCCACAGCGACUCCUGCCAUGUUUUUACUGCUAUCCUUUGCUGUGGCUUCUUCAUGCUCUGGGCCUUGUGCCAUGGCAGCCACCCUUCCACCUUGCCCAGUUUCCUUUCUGCCCUCCAGUUCCCGUGCCAUGGAGCAGUGUCUAAUGACAGCUGAGGCUGAAGUGACAUGUGCACAGCUGCUUCUGUGUCUGGGAUGCCCGUGAGAGCUGAGGAGGGGCGCUUGGGAGUUGUUCCACUUGGCUCAUCCUGUUUUCCAGGAACUGGAGGGGUUGCCUUUUCCACUGCUCAGAUCAGUCCAUCCUAGGCUCUGCCUUUCUCUCUCACCUCCUUCUCCUCAUUUCCACCAUCGUUUCCUUCCCUCCCAUCAUCCAGUGUAGCUGCAGCUGUGAACACUGUUUUGGUGGCUCCCAAAGGGAGCCUGCUUAUCUUCCCUCUGUACCUGCACAAGGAGAAAUCAGAUCUCUACGGGGCAGUGCAAUGAGGGGCUCUCUGUCACAGAGGAUCAUUGUCUGAUUCUCUUGGCUAGCUGCUAAAACUCAAGCCCUCUUGACUUGCCCUUCGGGGGCAUUUGCACAGUAAUCAACCAGUCUUCUUAGGAACCUGUGAUUCCCUCGACUCUUUCAUUCUGUGGUUCUCUCUGGGAUGCCCCAGCAUUCCUAAAGAAACCAGGGGUGGGGGAUGCUGAUAGUCAGGAAGAGAUGGGAGGAGAAGGAUGCAUGCUGGGAAGUUAGCAGUGCCUGUGGGGGCUGCGGGAGGACCUGGCAAAGGGCAGGAGGAACGGGAAGCGCGAUGCCUUGAACAUCAUGUGGAAGCUCAUCCUUGUGUGUGAAAAUGAGCAACGUUUAUGUAUGGCACUUCAGUGGAAGAAAGUACCAGAAUUUCAUGCUUUUGGGUAGCCCUCUCCUGGUCUCUCAACCUGGUCUGAUAGGCUCUUGAGGAGAAGGGAGAACAAGGGAAGAAGGUGGGAGAGCAAGGGAGGGAGGAGGGAGAUUAAUUGGUUGUGUAGACAGACAGCUGUUCACUGAUGUUGGCUAAAACAUUGCUGGAGUUAAUUCUCCUUUGAACAGUUUGGAAGCACUGUUCAUUUCCCUCCCCCUGCAGUAAAUGCCUGCCUUUGGGAUGCUCUUGUCUUUCUUUUUAAGAUUUCUUUGUUUUUAUUUUAUGUAUAUAGGUGUUUUGCCUGCAUGCAUGUCUGUGCACCAUGUGAGUGCUUACUGCUCACAGGCAUCAGAAGAAGGCAGCCGGUCCUCUGAACUGGUGUUACAGACAGUUGUGAGCCUCCAUGUGGGUCAGCACAUGGUCUUAACUGCUAAGUCAUCUCUCCAGCCCCACACUACUCUAACUGCCCUGCUCUGAACUCAUUACUUCUUCCUCCCAGGGUACCAACCUGUGUCUUUAUGCCUCCCAUGGCUACAUCCACCACAUUUCAAAAUAUAUACUUAAUCCCCUUAUGGAAUUCAUCUCCAAGCACAAUAGAUACUGACUUUGUGGUGACUUUUAGAUCUAGUUCUCAGGAGCAGGUCUGGUGUCUUUGGACAAGCCUUGUGGCUGCUAACCUGGGCUCUCUACAAGGCUCUGUUUUUUCUUCGGUCUCAUAUGCAUUUCUACUGAAAACUGAAGUCUUUAGAGGUUCCCUUUGAUUAUGUUAAUCUGCUGUUCACAAGUCUCUAAAUUGUUCCCUUCUGUUUAUUGGAUGGACCUCAAAGUCUCUGUGUGGGAUUCAGACCUCUCUGAAAUCUGGCCUUUUUCCUCCCUAGCCAGUGCUCUUGGCUUCUGCCUGCCUCACAAGCCUUCUUCCCCAGGCAACAAUGUAGUGGUCUGUGAGAGACCAUGAGCCCUCCUCCUGCUCCUCUCAGGGUUCCCCAGCCACAUGCAUACAUUUCCUUACCAUUUGAGGUUAAACUUAAUCCAUUUAAGUUACCUUCUUCUGAACAAAUGGUAGCUGCCCGUCCCAGCCUCUGGAGGCACUCACAGAUGGGAUCUCCAGCCUUCAGUGUCAUCUCCUUGGUUACAUCAUAUACCCUUGGAGUAGGGCAACCAGGCCUUGCAAUGUUCAGUCCCAGUAGUAGGCAUAGGUUUCCCCAGCCCCUUUGAAGAGACCUGAAGUGGACUGCUCAGGCAAGUAGCAAAGUGAUUAUGUAGGUCCUCUGACUGAUUUCUUUGGUGUCACUAGUGUGCCUGCAGCGGAGGUUCUCACGUAGAACAGCAGGCUAUGCAUGGCAUGUGGCUCCCCGCCCCAUGCAUGAAGCCAGUUCUCUGGGGCUUGUAGGCAGGCCUCUGUCUCCAGAGAAGAUUCCUGGUUUUAUUCCCGCUGCCAUGCAUCCAUCUCUGCCUCCACGUGACCUCACGUCCCGCUGAAGCUGUUCCUCGUGCUUUAUUUGGCUGCCCUGCUCUGUCAGCUCAGGUGUGUGUGGUUAAGGUAUGUCCCUGGAGGGAUGGUCAGGUUGCAUGCAAGUGACUUUUCCCUACGAAGCAUAACUUGAGAGAUUCCUUUUGAGACACAAGUUCAUACGAGGAAUAAGACAGGUGAAAAACUUUUCAAAGUCCCUGGUAAUUAAAUAAAAGUGAAGUCAAAGCAAGGACAUGAUGUAGUUUCCCCAACAAAUUCGCCAAGACCCUUAAGAGGUUGGAACUUGGGGCUGGUGAGAUGGCUCAGCAGGUAAGAGCACCCGACUGCUCUUCCGAAGGUCCGGAGUUCAAAUCCCAGCAACCACAUGGUGGCUCACAACCAUCUGUAACAAGAUCUGACUCCCUCUUCUGGAGUGUCUGAAGACAGCUACAGUGUACUUACAUAUAAUAAAUAAUAAAUAAAUCUUUAAAAACAAAAAAGAGGUUGGAACUCAGCUGUAGGCAGAGACUGGGAAGUGGGCUUACACCCGUUUGCAGAUGGAUAUUUGGCUAUGUGUGUUAAAAGCCUUAAAAAAAAAAUCCUGUCCCUGUCCCUUUUGGAUUGGCAAUGUCAAAUCUAUUUUGUUUUAAGAAAAUCAUUGUAUUUCGAAGGUCUGGACUCAGUGACAGAAUGCUUACACAAUAUGCCCAAAGCCUAGGUUCCAUCUUCAGUAUGGGGGGUGGGGUGGGAGUUGAAUAUCAAAGAAAUAAUGGUGUUUAUGUAGAAAGGAUUUAGGUAGUUGGAGAUUUUCUAGUGCAAAUGUUUAUGUAAAUAGAGCACAAGGAGCAGUCAAGUCCCUAACAGUGGGGACUGGUUAAGACAGUGGCACUGGACAUAGACUUUUCUUGGGCCUUUUGCAUCCUUUGCAUCCGUUUCCUCAUCUCUGCUGUAGGGUAGGCCUGCCAGCUUGACAGUUUCAUGGGUGAAAUGAUGGGAACCUCCCCUAGGCCUUCACUCAAACUGAUGGGACAGGGGACCUAACCUAGGCAGUGUCUCUCCCAAGCUGAAGCCUGUGUUUCACAGCCUCCCACGACAGACACCAGACUAUGCUCUAUGCAGCAGGAUCCCAUGUUGGUGCAAAGCGCUGAAGAUUCGCAGAUUACACACAAUGCUGCUUUUACAGUGUGAGAAAAUUAGUUAAAAAGCUCAUAACUAAACAAAAAUUACAUCUGUUUAUUUAGUGUGCAUGUGCAUGCAUGUGCGCGCGCGCGUGUGUGUGUGUGUGUAUGUGUGUACAUGUGCAUAUGCACGAGACAUAGAAAACGUGGAAGUCAGAGGUAAACUUGCAGGGGUGGUUUCUCUCUUUCUGCCUAUCAUAUGGGUUCUGUGAUUGAAUCCUGGCCAUCAGGCUUGGUCUGAAGUCUUACUCACCGAGCUAACUUAAUGGACCCCAUGCUUAAUAUUUAUUCAGAUUCUCAGUUUUGAUAGUCAUUCUCUUUUAAUUCACCAUUUCCCUGAUUUUCCUUGUACUCUUUCUUUCAGUGAGCAAAGCAAUUAUUCUGAGCCAGCAUCGUGGAAAUCUGGCUAAGCCUGGCUUCCAUGAGCUUUCACAUGCUGGGGAAGGCCAAUGACAGGACACCAGUUGUGGGUAUUGACUAUAGGCUGGCUAUAUUUUGAGCUCAUGUUGAUAUUUCAUAUGUUUUCUCUUUAUAAUUUUUAAAAACACUGGUAAGAAAGUAGCCUUAAUCUCCAGAGUGCCAGCCAGUAGCAGCAGAUCUAAGACUUGACUGGGCUAGGGACCUCAGAAGCAGAUUCCAAUAUGGCUUAGUAGGCGCUGCUCUCAGGUGAGCAGUGUGUGAAGGAAGCACACAGAAGGUUCCCUCGCUGCCUCGGGGAGGUUGACUGUUUGCUACAACACAGAAAACUAAACUCAGCCUUAAGCUCUGGUCUUCUAGAUAGAGGGGCAGGCAGGAGGAGUAGCAGGGAGACGUGGCAUCGAACCCCAUUCUGUCUUCUUUAUGUGUGAUUUCAAGCAAAUCACUUUUCUCAGGCCCCUCACUGGCAGAGCAGGCAUAAGGGCACCCAUACUGGGAGUGUGAUGUCAAAGUGCAAUAAUAUAUAUAACGCUUGGAACUCAGUGAGUCUUUCUGUGUAUCACGUCCUUCCCAGGUCCCUGGAGAAACUCCAAGCUAGUUAGAACAGUCAAGAGCGGGUUUUGGAUGUACUUAAUUAAGCCGAGUCACACUUACAUGCAUUUGUUAAGGCAUUAUAUUUUUUAAUUUUUAUUUAUGUGUAUGUCCCUGCUUGUCUACAUGUGCACACAUGUGUGUAGUGUCCAUGGAGGCCAGAAGAGAGCAUCAGAUCCCCUGUAACUGGAGUUGCAGGCAGGUGUGAACUAUCCAGUGUGGGUUAUAGGAAUUGAACUUGGGUCCUCAGCAAGAGCAGCAAGUGCCCUUAACAGCUGAGCCAUCUCUUUAGCCCUUCUUUAAAUCAUUUAGAUUUAUUUCAUGUAAACCACAGCUCCCCUUCCUGAAGCUGUGUGGGCUCUUCAUAGCACACCACCCACACCAUCAGACCAGCUCUCUCCUCUCUGUAUUUGACCUUAAGUGCUACUGCAGUUGGACUGCUUCGGGAGGAGUAGCUCUCCUCUUCUGAGCACGGAGGGUUGCACUGGAUUGGAGCAGAGUAAGCAAAGAGGCUAAGACCUUGGUUCAGGGACCACCUGUGACCAGGGAGUGAGGCUUCCUGUGGUGGGGGAGGAAGACUGGGUGGCUGGUUUGGAGGCCAGCAUCUGGGUCAGGAGGGAGGACUGAGCUAAGUAGAACUCAGCAGAUUCCUUGGCAUGCACUGCAGGAGGAUUCCCUGAAGGGCUGCACAGAAAAAUGUGCUGUGUGCUUAGCAGGCCAGAAACCACAGAGACCCUAGCCAGGCUCUUGGAGCAUUUGGGAGCAGAAAAGCAGACUCCCCAGGUGGCUAUUUAUAGAGCCGGCAGCAGUAAUGAUCAGUUAGAAAAAUAAAUUAUAACUCAGUUGAACCUGAAAUAGCUUUGCUUUUGCAACCUUAGGCUUUCCGAAUGGGUCGCUCAGAUGUCAGUCCCUCCCAGUGGUGUUCCUGCAGGCUGAGGAGCAGUCUCAUACCAGGCUCACACAUGCCCACCCAGAGCUUCAGAGGCAACUGAGAGGGAGCUUUUGGCAAGAGCCAGGGAGCAUCCUGUCCAGAUGAUUCUUUUCUUUCCCCCAUGGAAUCCACAAAAUGGUGCUGUGUUCCCUCCUUCCAAUCAGCAUGCAUCGAUCAGGAAGCAUGUGUUAGUCUGUUUUCUUUUCUUUUUUAUUGAAUAUUUUAUUUAUUUACAUUUCAAAUGUUAUCCCCUUCCCCAGUUUCCCCUCCACAAAUCCCCUAUCUCAUCCCCCCUCCCAGUCCAUUUUCUAUUGUUGUAGUAAAACACAAAAGCAACAUACAGAAGGGCAGGUUUUUUUGGUCUCACCAUUCCAGAGGGAUGUGUCUGUCAAGGUUGGGAGGCAUGGUGGCAAGCAGGGAUGGGAGCUGAGAGAUUACAUCUUUAACUACAAGCAAGAAGCAAAGGGAGCAAACUGGAUGGGAGACAAGGCUAUAUGUUCUCAAAACCCUCUCCCCAUGACAUACUUCCUGCAGCAAGGCCACACCUUUCAAACCUCCCUAAAUAGCACACCACCUAGGGAUCAAGUGUUUAGAUAUAUGAGCCUCUGGGGGUACAUUUCUCAUUCAUGUCACCAUGAAGCAUAGGUAGACCUUGAAGGGAUGGAGACCCAUUGCAUGCCAAGCACCAGCUUGCGGUCAGUACUGUCUUGGCUGCAGACAGAGAUUCUGAUGGAGAUAGCCUCAGCCAAGCUGGUGGCUGACUCCUUUACAGAUCUUGUCUUCCAUCCUUCCCUCUGCCAACAAGCAAGACCCUGUGAUAUUCACAUUGACAGCCUGGCAGAAGGGUCACCUUGAGCUUGCCCAGUCCGCUGCUUGGGGUCUUGACACUUGGGCAUCCAUCUGGCUUCCCCUCUCCUACCCAUCUGUUCCUUUUUCUCAUUCAUUCAUUCAUUCAUUCAUUCAUUCGCUUUCCAAUCAGCAAGCAUUUAUUUAUUCAGUGUCUAUGACACACCAGAUACUGAUGCUACAAGAAUCAAAGCUGUUAUCUAGAUAUUAUAAAUGAUUAGCCUAUAAGUCCAUUGUGGCUAUAGCUACACUGUAUUUGGAUCUCAACACAGUGUCUUAAGUUUGUGUGCUCUGAUACAUAAAGCCCAACUGAUUUCUUAUGAGAAAGCAGACAUCCAACUUCUGCACGAGCAACUGAAGUUCUGGCCCUGUAAGCCAGGCCAUACAUGGUAGCAUUCUCUAGACAGGCUACUAGCCCAUUAGGUCAGCCCAGCUCCUCUGAUUCAUUUCAGUUCCCAUGUCUUUUUAGUCUUAGGUCAACAGCAGGACAGCCAUUACUCCUGUCUCACAAAUGCACUGUUUCCUCCUGCAUGUCACUUCCUGGCCAUGUGAUAACUUGAUGUUGAAUCCAAAUGUGGUUGGUUCCUAGGCCAAGUCUCAUGGUCUGGGGGGGAGGCAGGACCAGCAAUCAGCCACUGUGUGAAAGGCGCUACAAGAGUGGCAGCCAUUGGGAAUACAGGGGGUGGAAUGCUUGCUGGCUUUGAUAUAAGAGUCUGAUUUGACAGUUGAGUGAGCAUAUGGUAAGAAGUUGCUGAGAGAGCCUUUCUGGACCAAGCAGUAGGCAUGCUCAGGAGUUCUGAUGAAUCCUGAAGACAGAGUCAAACAAACUCUAGCAAAGGUCAAAGUAAAAGAGUCCCACUGAUGGGAUUUCAGACCAACUCUGCCCAACCUCAGACCUGUAGGCAGGCCCUGGCCAUAUCUGCCAAUAGCCGCCUAAAGUAUCUGCAGCCAGUGGUUCUCCUUGCUCCUCCCACAGUGUGGUAUGCGUGCUUCCCAGUCCUUCAUCUUCCCUUCUAACCUCUUUCUUGUUUCAUCUCUGAGGCCAGUGGUCCCCGGAGUGUGAGAUGCUUUGGUCUUCUCCCUUGGUGUGCACAUGUUCACUAUCAUCUACAGGCAGAUGUCAAACGUUUCCUCAGCUGACAUCAUCAGCCCGGAGGCAGCUGAGAUGCAGUUGAGGCCCCAGGCAACUUGUGGAGGAUUUGUCUUAGGGAGCUCACAGGUGCCUUGGACUCCAGCUAUGGCUGCAGCCAGCCUCUCCUGCACCCCAUCAGCUCACCCUCCUCCCUUCUUUAUCCUUUUCACUCACGGCCUCUCUCCUGAAUGUUGAAAUCCUUCCAUUCUUUAGCCCUUAGUGUUAGUUCCCUGAAGCCUUCCUGACUCAGGAGGCCACCAACACCCAUUACAUCAUAAGUAACAUUUCCAGAAAACUGAGAGCUCACCCAUGCUCCAGAUGUCCUGUGAACAUAGCAGGGCAGAGCCCUGUGAAGAAGGUGGCCUUGCUCAGUCCCUCACUCUGCUCUCCAUGUGAUCCAUCAUGGAUGCUUUUUAAAAAAAUUAUUAUUAUUGCAAUUAUCUCUGACACCCCACUCAUGAUGGUGGUGUGAGAUUAUCUGUUCCCAGCCUGACUGUAGGUUGGUUUAUGACAGGAACUGGCUACUGCAUAGUGUCUUCCUGAGAAUGAAGCAUAGUUCCACAUAUGCUCUCAGCUGUCAAUGACUAACAGCCAAUGGCUGUAUUGAAUGAUACUCUAAUGGAGAGGGUAAUGUUACUCUUUGCAUGAGACAUGCCAUUAAAGUUGCCACCCAGGAAAAAGUGACAGUGGUUUGGGAGUGAUUGAGUCAGAGGAAAGGAUGUCAUCUACAACAUGAAGUUGUCUUUUAGCCACUACCAUUGGUAAGGGAUACCUGAAGAAGAGGAAAGAGCACAGAUCGUGUCUUAAGGCAGUGUAGCUGUCACCGGAUCCAGUGAUAAGAGUGCACCUGGCUCUUCUACAGUUUCUGUCUGUAGGACUUGGAGAUCUAGAAACUUUGGGCAGGAAGUAGAGGAUGCGUGGCUUGUCUCCACAGCUCACAGUUCAGGUUCUGCUGACUGUACCUAGCUUUCCUUUGUGGCCCCCAUGGUGGCCUUCUCCUGGGAGUCUAGGUGUGGUUUUGCUUGUGAUCAUUGUGCUAGCUCCAAAUGUCCAGUGUUCCACCCUGGACUGCUGCUUCUGGGCUGGAGUGUCUCCACGGCUGGUGCUGAGGGCUCAGCAAGACCAAGAGAGUCAUUUGCAGAACAGGACUGAUAGAGUUUCAUGCCUGAGAUGUGACUUCUGCCCAGAUCCUGAGAGAAUUCCGGGUUUUAAUAUAGUAACUCCAGUGGCAGGCUCUGCUCUUGCUGUAGUCUGAGCACUUGUGCCCAUGUUAACUCCUUUCUUCCUCACAGAUACAACCCAUCAGCCUUGGAUAUUCUCAGCCAUUCCCAUUAUAGAUGAAGAUUCAAAACCUCAGAGAGAUAAGUCUCUCUGAUUAACAUAGGGUUUGAAGCCAAUUCUUUUGCCCCUAAAGAAUUUCAUGAUUCUCUGUACUGGGUUGCCUUCUGGGCUCUCUGGCUAGGUAUCACCAGCAUCUCUCUUUCCAAAGGGAUUGAGCUAAGAACAGAUUUGGCACUUCAGUCCCAGGACUGUCUCUGCCUUCUAUUUCCUGUCACUGUGCCCUCCGACCUAAGGAUACCUCUCCACCUUUCACAUCCUUCUGAAGCCUCAGCUCCCGCUACCAAAGGGAGAGAAAAGGAGGGCAGGUCUCAGGUUCUGACUUUGGGAACUGUAUCGCACCUGGUGCCUAGGCCUCUUUCAGUCUGUACUUUCAUUAGUUCACUCAGUGGACUUGGUAGAGAGCCUGCUGUGGACCAGACACUGUUGAGUUACUGGGGCGACGGUGACGUUCUUGCACCUUGGAGCUCACUGGUGAGCACUGUGUGGAGAGAAGUGAGUGAGUAUAAAAAAUGUUUCAGUAGUGCUCAGGAGAUGACGACAAGACAGUAGACAAGGCAGGGAUGUGGCUACACGGGCAAGCAGGGAGCUGGUGAGAAGACGAAGUUAGGAGAGAAUUGAGGGGAAGUUCCUGCUUGUGGGGCACAGGGAACCUGGCAUGAGAAAGCUGGGAGCAGCAGUUUUCCAGGAAGAGGUGGCUAUCCAGGGCAAAGGGCCAAGUGGAGCUGCAGAACACAGUGCUGGGAAAUGAUAUUUGUCAUGGUGGUUAGGCUGGGCUGUCAUCGCCAUGGUUCAGCAAUCCUGUGCUUCCUGAGGAGUUAUCCGAGGUCUCUCCUCUGCCUUCUCCAAGUUGUGGCAUUUCUGAGAAGACCACGUCUGAGGUCUGGGCCCACAGUUGAACAAGUCAUGGUUGAUCUUGGAGCCCAGGCAUCGGCUCAGUCAUGGCUUGGCUCAGCAGGGAAUGCUUUGCAGAACACAGGGAGAGACAGCCCAAAUGCACCCAUCACAGACAUUCUUGACCCCACUGGCUCCAGCAAUGGCACGCAACAGGGAUUUCUCUAGGUCUCUGUGAUUUUUGAAAAUAGCUCUGGGACUUCUAGUUUGGAUUCUGCUCUUGGCUUGUUAGUUAAUUGUUUCUUUGAGCAAACACCUACUCUGGAUUUUUUAUUUUUGAUUAAUGAAUGAAUAAGUGAGUGAGUGAAUAUAUGAAGUAGGAAAUUCAAAGAACAUUAAGGUUUUCCUUGUUUUUUGUCUUAUAAUGAAUGUGUUACAUUGGUCAAAAGUUUUCUUUGUGUUGUAGUUUUUCCUGCCUCUCUUUUAGGUCCUGGUUGAUAAUAGACAGACAGGCAGAUAUUAGUGGUAGAUUUCAUGUUAAUAGGUGCUACCAUUUAACUCUCUUGGUACGGAUCUGAAGUGCUCAAAGCAUAGCAUCUGGACCACAGCCACUGUACCUGGUAACUGGUUAGAAAUGUACAUUUUCAGACCCACCAAACAAGGGUACUGGGACUAUAGUCAAAGAUUUGUUUUAAUAAGUCUUCCAGGUAGUUCAGAUGUAUGCUAAUGUCCAAGUUACUCAUACAGAGUGUGUGCUUUCAGCUGUGUUCUCUAGGAAUGGAUUCUUGCACUGCAGUUACUAUCAUAGUUGUGGCUCUCGAUUGUGCUUGUAAUGCGUUGAUCCAGCCUGGCAUGGCACAGUCCUUGGCUAUAAUGCAGAAGGGACAUGCCUGACCCAUCUGGGGUUGAUCCAGGUGGUGCUGUUUAAUGCCAUGUCCCACCCACUGGGCUACAUAUCUCUGGGGGAAUGGGCAUUCCAAGUGGGCAUCUGUUGGAGGGAAACCUUAGCAAGAGGAUGGCCCAUUCCAGGAGCUUUGUAGAAGUGCUGCUAGAUUUGUUUCCAUGGGGACUGCCAAAGCAGAUCAGCUCUUUGACUCUGGCUAGUUUUGAUGUGUUUUAAAGCAUGAGCCUGUCCCAGGAAGUGGAUCUGCUAGCACGCAUGUUAAUGAAGACCAAUGUGCUGAAAGAGCUCAAUGUUCCAUGAAAGUCUGGUGUCUCGGAUUUGGCCCUGCGUUGCCCACUCCUGCUGCGUCUUGUCCAGCGAGGGACAAAACACCCUGCCACCUGCCUGAAGAACAGGAAGAAAAGAAGUUACAGAGGCAGAUUCCAGUGCAUCCAGAGACCGAGAUGUUGACACUCAGAGGGAGCCGGGAUCUCCAAGACAUGUACUUCCAGAAGCCCCAGGAGAGCUGGACAAGAGGCACAGUGACCCAAGUAGUAGAAGUACAUCAGCACCCGGGCUGCCUACCCAAGACCCACCAAGUGGAGGAUAGCACAGCAGAAUCUCACUUUGCCAAACCUGGCACAAGAACCAGAGAAGCCGGAUCUGCAGCAUGUAUCCCAAAGCUACCAGAAAAAGUCAGAGAGGAUGGCAUGUUGACUUGUGAUCGGCUGUACCAGUAGUUAUUGUGAGAAGAGACCUCCUCCCCAUCAGAUUCCCUCACCUCUGGACAUUACUCUCCACCAUAAGCCUGGGGUCCUGCUUCAGCUGUCAGCCUUCCACUCAACCUUCCCUGUGAGGAAACGCCCCCUUUCUCCUCCGUAUUCUGGCAUUCUGGAUUUACUCGUUAUGCCCAGCACCGGUCACCUUAAAUAGAAGCACCCUGAGAUAUUCCUACUUCUCAGAAACUGCCAAAUGAAUGUCAUGACGUGGUCAGAGAGCUUCUCCUUCUCCCUGCCUCCCUCAUCCCAGUUGUGCCUUUGUCAGCGCCUGGUGUCUGGAUCGCAGGAAGAGGGAGAAGAUGCGGUUGGAGGCAGCAAUACCUUGAAGACCACCAACACUCAGCUCAUGUCCUGCCUUGUCUCCAACCCAUGAUUCAGUUCUGCCUCUUGUGUCUGUCCUAUCCUGGACAGUUGUACAUUACUUUUUUUCAAUUAAACAGAAUUUGGUUACUUUUUUAUUAUUGCCAA